rnacentral:rRNA from 1 species
ACUCCUACGGGAGGCAGCAGUGGGGAAUAUUGCACAAUGGGCGCAAGCCUGAUGCAGCCAUGCCGCGUGUGUGAAGAAGGCCUUGGGUUGUAAAGCACUUUCAGUCGUGAGGAAGGUAGUGUAGUUAAUAGCUGCAUUAUUUGUACGUUAGCGACAGAAGAAGCACCGGCUAACUCCGUGCCAGCAGCCGCGGUAAUACGGAGGGUGCGAGCGUUAAUCGGAAUUACUGGGCGUAAAGCGCAUGCAGGUGGUUUGUUAAGUCAGAUGUGAAAGCCCGGGGCGUCAACCUCGGAAUAGCAUUUGAAACUGGCAGACUAGAGUACUGUAGAGGGGGUUAGAAUUUCAGGUGUAGCGGUGAAAUGCGUAGAGAUCUGAAGGAAUACCGGUGGCGAAGGCGGCCCCUGGACAGAUACUGACACUCAGAUGCGAAAGCGUGGGAGC